AUCAAUCUCGAUCAUCUAGCUAUCUGCAGUGUCCUAAAUCAACAUGGGAAAACUCCUCGUUUUAUUGACUGUUCUCUGCCUGAUGGCCAUGACGACCGCUUACUAUUAUCAUCAUGGCGGACAGAAACGUUGCGACUAUCAUCGCAGAUGUUAUUAUGACUUCCACUGUUACCGCGGAGAAUUUUGUAAAACUGUGUCCCAAUUCCCCUACAGGAUUGGCUACUGCUGUAGUUAUUAUCGUCGAGGAGGACGUGAAUAUUAUUAGGACAAGAAUGGAACGAGGCAGAUCACUGGCUAAUUGACAAAACGACCUGAAGUUUUAAAGAAAACAUACUUGCAAUGAUCAUUGUCAAUCAAUUUAUAAUUGAAGCAUUUGAAUAAAAUCUUGCAUCUUA